AAAACAUGGUUGCUCCGAACCAGGUAAUAAUUCUGCUCCUUUUUGAUAUAUUUAGCUUUCCUUUUGUUUCCUUGGAAAGUCUUUUCUCGAGAAAAAUAUCCUUCUUAAUAUGGAUAAUCAGCUGUGCAUGCUGACCAAGUUUUUUGAUAUUCUAUCAUGGCGUUCUACUUCUUCUUUCUGAUCUCGAUCGUUAGUGAAAUAUUAG
rnacentral:misc_RNA from 1 species